AACGAACGCUGGCGGCAUGCCUAACACAUGCAAGUCGAACGAGACCUCCGGGUCUAGUGGCGCACGGGUGCGUAACGCGUGGGAACCUGCCCUUAGGUUCGGAAUAACUCCCCGAAAGGGGUGCUAAUACAGGAUAAUGUCUUCGGACCAAAGAUUUAUCGCCUUUGGAUGGGCCCGCGUUGGAUUAGCUAGUUGGUAGGGUAAAAGCCUACCAAGGCGACGAUGCAUAGCUGGUCUGAGAGGAGGAUCAGCCACACUGGGACUGAGACACGGCCCAGACUCCUACGGGAGGCAGCAGUGGGGAAUAUUGGACAAUGGGCGAAAGCCUGAUCCAGCAAUGCCGCGUGAGUGAUGAAGGCCUUAGGGUUGUAAAGCUCUUUUACCCGGGAUGAUAAUGACGGUACCGGGAGAAUAAGCACCGGCUAACUCCGUG
rnacentral:rRNA from 1 species